AUGGGGAGCAGCAGGGCAAGGCUACGGCAGCAAGGGGCGGCAGAGGCAACAGAGGCGCUGGCACGCUCACAUCAGAGCAGAAGAUCACGGGCGUCUCUGGAGCAUCGAGCAGGAGCAGCAGCGAGGCGAGGCGCUAGAGGGCGCGGCGCGGCUGGACAAAGGCCAUGGCCGCGGUCGAUGGAGGAAGGCACGGCGAUGCGACGGCGAAGGGGCAUGGCUCCGGCGGAGCUGCUCGCUGGCGGCGGCCGGAGGCAGAGGCGGGGAGGCGGCGGCGAUCGAGCGAUGCGAUGCAGGAGGGGGAGGCGCGAGGAAGGGGGGCCUGCAUGGGCGCGCGCACAGGGCGGCGGCCUGCUUCUGGUCGGGAACUCGCGGGCACGCCUUCGGCAGAGGACGGCGCGGGGCUCUGCUUCUCUCCGCGUGUAG
rnacentral:rRNA from 1 species